rnacentral:rRNA from 1 species
UACGUAGGCAGCAAGCGUUGUUCGGAGUUACUGGGCGUAAAGGGUGUGUAGGCGGUUGGAUAAGUGUGGUGUGAAAUCUCCCGGCUCAACCGGGAGGGUGCGCCGAAUACUGAGGGACUAGAGUGCGGGAGAGGAAAGUGGAAUUCCUGGUGUAGCGGUGAAAUGCGUAGAUAUCAGGAGGAACACCGGUGGUGUAGACGGCUUUCUGGACCGUAACUGACGCUGAGACACGAAAGCGUGGGUAGCAAACAGG